AUGUUCGGCGGCGGUCUCCCCAUCAUCGGUGGGAUCGGCGGGCUCACAGGGAGCAAGACCCGGCUCAAGGGGUCGGUGGUGCUGACCCGCAAGAAUGCACUCGACUUCAACGACCUGGGCGCCACCGUCAUGGACAAUGUCACCGAGUUCCUCGGCCGCGGCGUCACCUGCCAACUCAUCAGCUCCACCAUCGUCGAUUCCAACAACGGGAACCGCGGGAAGGUGAGCGCGGAGGCGAGCCUGGAGCAGUGGAUCACGAGCCUGCCGUUCAUCACGGUGGGCGAGAACAAGUUCAGCGUCACCUUCGACUGGGCGGUGGACAAGCUGGGCGUGCCGGGCGCCAUCAUCGUCAAGAACAACCACGCCUCCGAGUUCUUCCUCAAGACCAUCNNNNNNNNNNNNNNNNNNNNNNNNNNNNNNNNNNNNNNNNNNNNNNNNNNNNNNNNNNNNNNNNNNNNNNNNNNNNNNNNNNNNNNCAUCUACGUGCCGCGGGACGAGCUGUUCGGGCAUCUCAAGAAGUCGGACUUCCUGGGCUACUCGCUCAAGGCGCUGGUAGAUGGCAUCGUGCCGGCCAUCCGCACCUACGUCGACCUCUCCCCCGGCGAGUUCGACUCCUUCGCCGACAUCCUCAAGCUCUACGAGGGUGGCAUCAAGCUGCCCAGCAUCCCGGCCCUCGAGGAGGUGCGCAAGCGCUUCCCGCUCCAGCUCGUCAAGGACCUCAUCCCCAUGGGCGGCGACUACCUCCUCAAGCCCCCCAAGCCGCAAGUCAUCAAACAGGACGAGAAAGCAUGGAUGACCGACGCCGAGUUCGCAAGGGAGAUUCUCGCCGGCGUCAACCCGAUGAUGAUCACCCGUGUGACGGAGUUUCCUCCCAAGAGUAGUCUGGAUCCCAGCCAGUACGGCGACCACACCAGCACCAUCACCGAGGCGCAGAUCGGGUCGAGCCUCGAGGGCAUCACCGUGCAGCAGGCAGUCUCCAGCAACAGGCUCUACAUCCUCAACCACCACGACCACAUGAUGCCGUACCUCGUCAGGCUCAACAACCUCGACGACACCUUCCUCUACGCCACCAGGACUCUGCUCUUCCUCAAAGGUGACGGCACACUGGCGCCGGUCGCCAUCGAGCUGAGCACGCCGCUGCUCCAGGGCGGCCUCACCACCGCCAAGAGCACCGUCUACACUCCGGCGUCCACCGGCGUCGAGGCCUGGAUAUGGCAGCUCGCCAAGGCGUACGUCUGCGUCAACGACUACGGCUAUCACCAGCUGGUCAGCCACUGGCUCAACACGCACGCCGUGAUGGAGCCCUUCAUCAUCGCCACCAACCGGCAGCUGAGCGUGACGCACCCGGUGCACAAGCUGCUGCACCCGCACUACCGUGACACAAUGAACAUCAACUCGCGGGCGCGCGAGCUGCUCGUCAGCGCCGGCGGGAUCAUCGAGCUCACCGUCUUCCAGCGCAAGUACGCCAUGGAGAUGUCCUCCGUCACCUACAAGGACUGGAACUUCAACGAGCAGGCCCUACCAGACGAUCUAAUCAAGAGGGGCAUGGCGUGGCGCGACCCAUCUAGCCCGCACAAGGUGCGGCUGCUACUUGAGGACUACCCUUACGCGGUGGAUGGGCUCGCUAUCUGGACCGCCAUCGAGCAGUGGGUGACAGAGUAUCUGGCCAUCUACUACACCAGCGACAGUGUGCUUCAGAGCGACGUGGAGCUGCAGGCGUGGUGGAAGGAGGUACGCGAGGUCGGCCACGGCGAUCUCAAGGACGCGGCAUGGUGGCCCAAGAUGAUGACGGUGGCGGAGCUGGUCAAGGCCUGCGCCACCAUCAUCUGGACCGGGUCCGCGCUGCACGCCGCCGUAAACUUCGGGCAGUACCCCUACGCAGGUUACCACCCCAACAAGCCGUCAGCGAGCCGUCGUCCGAUGCCGGAGCCGGACACCGAGGAGUACGCCUUGCUGGCCCGCGACCCAGAAAAGGUGUUCAUCCACACCAUUACCAACCAGGUGCAGUCCAUCAUUGGCAUUUCCCUGCUGGAGAUCCUGUCCAAGCACUCCUCCGACGAGAUUUAUCUCGGGCAGCGUGACACGCCGGAGUGGACCUCGGAUGCCAAGGCGCUGGAGGCGUUCAAGCGGUUCGGCACAAGGCUGGAAGGCAUCGAGAGCCAGGUGGUGGCCUUGAACGGAAACCCCCAGCUCAAGAACCGCAAUGGACCAGCCCAAUUCCCCUACAUGUUGCUCUACCCCAACACCUCCGACCACACGGGCAAGGCCGAGGGGCUCACGGCCAGGGGCAUCCCCAACAGCAUCUCCAUCUGA
rnacentral:rRNA from 1 species